CAGUCAUCUCCUUAGCAUACAAAUUAGACACUCUUAAGUGAUACUAAAAGAUUCCAAGGUUUUUGGGGAGCUAUGUGCCAGGAAAAAGGGGGAAAAUGAUGACAAAAUACAUAUAUAUAUAUAUAAUUACAAUUACAGUAUCACAGUGGGCAGCUAUGGAACGGAAGUAAGGGAAUCCUCUUUGAGAUGAUUGGACGGUUUGAUAACUCUCAACCAAUUAUGAAACCAGGAGGAAAAGCAUUUGGGGAAGAGGAAAUGAGACCUGAUUGAUAAAUGCUACACGUGUACAUCUCAUUGAGCUCAAGGACAGAGCUUCCCCUCUCCUCACUGUCUGCAGUGCCUGGUCCAGGCAGGACCUGCCAUCAAGUCAAUGCUGAAAAUGUUGGCCACACAAAAACAUCUGCACCGUCGGAAGGAACAGAAGCUCCAGAACAAUGCCUGGGCUUCAAGAUCCAAUGGAACUUUGUCAGUUGAACGCCAGUCUUGAAUCCAGGUCUUCUUGCUUCCAAAUGUGGUCCUCUGCUGUCUCAUCAGCCUCUUGGGGCCUCACGCUGGGCUCCAGUUCGGGGUGUGAGGAGACGCCAAAUGCUUCUCAGAAUGGCCUAUCUGGGAUCUCGCCCAGUGCCUUUCUCCCUCCUCUUGCUAUUUUUCGUGUCUUUUCUCUUCCCCCUCUCCCUGUGUCGGGCGUGUUUACUUGCAGCAGCCAGAAAGACCACCUUCCACCCGCCCUCUCUUCGGUUCAGCUGCACCUCUCUACUCCAAUAAACCGUUUGCAUUCCAUCUGGUGAGCGUUUGCUCUGAAGACAUUUCCUUGUCAAUCUCUCCCGCCACAUUAAAAAUCUGUCAUUACGAUUGCAUCGCCGCCUGGCUCCUGAGAUUUCUGACUGCUUUAUUGCUCUCCUCAUUUUUUUCUCUUGCCUGCUACAGCCGAGAAGCAGAAAUAAAGGUUUGUUGUUGAAACAUGGCCGGGAGGAAAGUAGGAGGCACACAUCUGUCAAGACAUUACCUUUCUUCAACCAGGGAUUAAGGUGUUUUACGGCACUCGCUACUGAGCAGUCACACUGAAUAAAUUUUCUCAGUAGAACAUAAAAAUGAACUCAUACAUUUUGAACCAAGUUUCUUCUUUCCAGCCAGCCCCGAUCAUUAUGCAGUGGCACCCGCAUACAGGGGCGCCAGCGAGUUAGGAAGUUUCUCAGACCCAUCCCACCUCCCGCCAAAGCUGCAUUAUUUAAAUGCCCGUUGAGGCGAAGGAAGCAUCGGGAUUAAGGGGAGAUGGUGGCUGUGAACACUCAGGCUUCCUCAGCUUGUGGGAGAGAACAGAAAGAUUUAAAAGAAACCUGGCCCCAGGUGUCCUCACUCAGGCCUGGCAAUGCCCGAUCUUGCUUUAAGAGCCGGAUCAAAUCCCUUUCUGUGGGGAGUGGCCCCUGGUUCCUCCACCAUCCUGUCCCCUCCUCCCUGCCCUGUAGGAGCACUUAUGUGACAACUGCCUGUUUCACAGCCCAUCCUCCUACUUUCUUCUCUAUCCCGGAACCUCAUGCUUACAAGACUUUACAGUGGCUAUUAAGAGCGAUGUAACCAUAAUAUUUUGGAGGGCUUUGUUUUGCAUUCUAAACUUUGUACAUGGAUUAGCCCAUUUAGACUUCCCAGCCACCCAUUAAAGUAGGUCAUUCUGCUCUCAUCUUAUAGAUGAGGAAACUGGGAUAGAAAGUCGUGUUAAGCACCUUGCAGAAAGUCAAAGAGCUAGCCAGGGACAGACCUAGGAUUUGAACCCAGCAUCAGAACCCCUACUUCUAAGACCAGCAGUCUGUUGUUAAGUGCUGUGCUAUUCUGCCAAGGGCAUAGGGCAUGGGGACAGAGGAGUUUAGGAAAGGCUUUGAAACAACUUUCUGGCACAGCAGCGUCUUGGUAAUGAGCAAAGGUGCCUGGGAGCGCUAUCUUGUCCUGGUACCCUCUGCCCUGGGGGCUGCCACAGCCCCACCCAAAGUUACAGAGCAACAGGAUUGGUGACCUGGGCUGAUGCUGCAUCUGAACUCCCUUUGUGACUUUCUCCACUAUUUCUCUCUCUCUCUCUCUUUCACACACACACACACACACACACACACACAUACACACAAUGUCCUCUCCACCUUUCUGACUAUGCUAUUCUCUCUACCUGGAAUCCUGAAAUUCUCUCUAUUAUUUUUUUAAAGGUAGGGAAAACUAUUCAUCCUUCAAAACCUUUUACUUUCUGUGAAAUCUUUCUUUACCCUUCAAGAAUAAAAUACAGACUCCCCACAACAACAACAACAAAAACAACACCCCGCGUGUCUUUUCUCAUCCCUGAGUAAUGGCACCCACCGAGUUGUAUUAUACAGGAUCUGUUUUCAGGUCAGUCUCCCCGAUAACCAUCACAAAAUUCAGCACCCCGAUACACACUGAGCCCUUAGUAAUCUUCAUAAUAACCCUAAGAGAUAGCUCUGCUCUCAUCUCUUAAACUGAAGACCUUCUGUUUAGCACCUCAAUACCAUUGUGUUCUCUGGAUGGCCUAAUGGAACCAGCAGUGCAGUGAGGUCUGGGAGCAAGACUUGGGGAUCUGGAGAUUGCCUGGAAUUGAGGGCUGGAAGCUGGUUGUGGUUUCUAUGGUUUCUAAGAGCUGCCCUUGAACCAUGCAUCCAGACACCCUCAAGGCAGGGCUUGCAGGAGGCACCUCCUUAUCACCAGACCUAGGCUCAGGACCUGGCAGAUAGUGCCCGCAGGGAAAGAAACUCUGCUUUGCUACCAGAAACCUACUUCUAAGACCAGGCUUGGUUUUCCUGGAUGGCCUUGCUGCUUGCAUUGCUUAUAAUGGUAAAAGUCUGAAAGCAGCCGGGAUGUUCAGCUAAACAGGAAUCCCUAUGAUAAUCCAGUCAUGCAAAAGAGCCCUAUGCAAUCGUGAAGAAAAAUGAGGUCACUCUAAAUGUGCUGAUACAGAAGAGUUAACAAAAUUAACUAUUGUUAGCUGAAUAAAAAGCAAGAGGCAGAACAGCGUAUCACACAAAGAGACAAACAUGCAUGAUAACAUGUAGACUACUCCUGAAAGAAUGAAUAAAAACCAGUGGUCAUCCCCAAAACAAAAAAUAAUUUUUCUUGUCUAUCCAUUUUAUGUAGUUUGAAUUUUUGGCAAUGUGUAGGUCUUAUUUGCAAUAAAAUAUGAGUUAAUUUUAGGUAAGUGCUUUAUGAAAUCCUAAGGACCACCCUGAAGCGCAAACAGCAUCACUAGAGUGGAUAUGCCCAGCCAUGGGUUUGUGAGAAUUGGGGAACUCCAGCUCAGUGUAGACAGGCUGGGACACAAGUAAGGACUCACCCUCUUAGGCUGAGCUGGCCCUGGACUAAGGGACGCUUUGCUUAUCUUCCUUGUGGCCUAGGCACUGAGCGAAUGACCCAUGUUCAUUUUUGCUUCCCAGCUCCUGUCUAUUCUGAUCGGAUAAACGGGCCAGUUGGCAGGACCAUUGUGAUUAACCUUGGCUGAUCCCUGAGUGAAUGAUCUUCUGGAUACAGGUGGUAGGCCUUGAGCUGAUUUGCCACAAGGUAGAAGUCUCAAUGUCCCUCAUUACCCAACAAACCAUUAGGCAGGGAAUGACAAUACCAUGGCUCAGAUUGUUUCCCGAUAGCCGUCAUGGCCUGUCUCCUACAUAGAAUAGCACGCAUCUUGCUGUGAGUCAAUCCCUUGCCCACUGGCUGCAAGUCAUGUGAAAUUCAAUUAACUUUCUACAGGAGGAAUAAAAGCAAGGAAGAAGCUGCCACACCUCGAGAGCCAACAUGUUACUGAGCACUGUGGUCAAUCAGUAUUUUUAUCAGAUUAAAUUAAACAUUAUCCCAAUGACAAGUCCACAUGGCGAGCGUUAUCAUCCGCAUUCUACAUACCCAGUUGCUGAGGCCCAGCUGCAAGGUGGUGUAGAGGACAGGAUGGGGGAGCCUUUCCAUUUGAUCUGUCUGCUCCGUCUGUGAGGUGAGAGUGCGGGGGCUCUCAGUUUGAAUAUUGUCUCCACCAGGGUCAAGGGGGGCUACCUGGGGGAUUAUAUCACUUCUCUAUGCUUCAGUUGCCUCAGCUGUAAUGUGCUGCUUACGCCACUGCGCUAUUGUGAGGAUGAAAUGAGAUACCGCUUAAAGGCCCAUCGUGCUUGGCAUACAGUAAAUGCUCAAUAAACCCUACUCAUCAUUAUAAUCCAACUUGCCAAAAUGUUCUCCUUUUGGCUUUACUCCCCAAUCAGAGUUCACACAUGCAGAGAUGUGGGCCCUUCCUUAAGUUUCCCUUUCUUCCUAUCCCCACCCAAUUUCUUCAAAUUUGUUUUGUUAGUUAGAUUUUUAUUUUCUUGUGACCAUUUUGUAAAACUGGUUUUGGAGUCCAAAAUCCUGUCAACUUGAGCACAUUAAUCUGCAAUCCCCAUAAGGAUGUGUAAUGUGAUUUAUAGAUGCAUUUUCUUUAGCUUAACAAUAUCACGUUCACAUUUCGGCCUCGACGGCCUUCAUCACCUUGCCAAACUCUGGAAUUUUAUUGUUGGAUCAAAUAAACUGUG
rnacentral:lncRNA from 1 species